rnacentral:rRNA from 1 species
UACACGUGGGUAACCUGCCUGUAAGACUGGGAUAACUCCGGGAAACCGGGGCUAAUACCGGAUGCUUGAUUGAACCGCAUGGUUCAAUCAUAAAAGGUGGCUUUUAGCUACCACUUACAGAUGGACCCGCGGCGCAUUAGCUAGUUGGUGAGGUAACGGCUCACCAAGGCGACGAUGCGUAGCCGACCUGAGAGGGUGAUCGGCCACACUGGGACUGAGACACGGCCCAUACUCCUACGGGAGGCAGCAGUAGGGAAUCUUCCGCAAUGGACGAAAGUCUGACGGAGCAACGCCGCGUGAGUGAUGAAGGUUUUCGGAUCGUAAAACUCUGUUGUUAGGGAAGAACAAGUACCGUUCGAAUAGGGCGGCACCUUGACGGUACCUAACCAGAAAGCCACGGCUAACUACGUGCCAGCAGCCGCGGUAAUACGUAGGUGGCAAGCGUUGUCCGGAAUUAUUGGGCGUAAAGCGCGCGCAGGCGGUUUCUUAAGUCUGAUGUGAAAGCCCCCGGCUCAACCGGGGAGGGUCAUUGGAAACUGGGGAACUUGAGUGCAGAAGAGGAGAGUGGAAUUCCACGUGUAGCGGUGAAAUGCGUAGAGAUGUGGAGGAACACCAGUGGCGAAGGCGACUCUCUGGUCUGUAACUGACGCUGAGGCGCGAAAGCGUGGGGAGCGAACAGGAUUAGAUACCCUGGUAGUCCACGCCGUAAACGAUGAGUGCUAAGUGUUAGAGGGUUUCCGCCCUUUAGUGCUGCAGCAAACGCAUUAAGCACUCCGCCUGGGGAGUACGGUCGCAAGACUGAAACUCAAAGGAAUUGACGGGGGCCCGCACAAGCGGUGGAGCAUGUGGUUUAAUUCGAAGCAACGCGAAGAACCUUACCAGGUCUUGACAUCCUCUGACAACCCUAGAGAUAGGGCUUCCCCUUCGGGGGCAGAGUGACAGGUGGUGCAUGGUUGUCGUCAGCUCGUGUCGUGAGAUGUUGGGUUAAGUCCCGCAACGAGCGCAACCCUUGAUCUUAGUUGCCAGCAUUCAGUUGGGCACUCUAAGGUGACUGCCGGUGACAAACCGGAGGAAGGUGGGGAUGACGUCAAAUCAUCAUGCCCCUUAUGACCUGGGCUACACACGUGCUACAAUGGGCAGAACAAAGGGCAGCGAAGCCGCGAGGCUAAGCCAAUCCCACAAAUCUGUUCUCAGUUCGGAUCGCAGUCUGCAACUCGACUGCGUGAAGCUGGAAUCGCU